CUUUACUGUAGCCUGGAAUUGGGUCCGGGCUUCGCUUGCGCAGGAUAGGUGGGAGGCACUGAAACACUCCUUGUGGGGAGUGUGGAGCCAACGGUGAGAUACCACUCUGGCAAGGCUAGAAUUCUAACCUCUGCCCGUUAGCCGGGAGAGGAACAGUUUCAGGCGGGUAGUUUGACUGGGGCGGUCGCCUCCUAAAAGGUAACGGAGGCGCGCAAAGGUUCCCUCCGGCUGGUUGGAAAUCAGCCCGUGAAGUGCAAAGGCAUAAGGGAGCUUGACUGCAAGAGCCACACCUCGAGCAGGGACGAAAGUCGGCCUUAGUGAUCCGACGGCGCUGAGUGGAAGGGCCGUCGCUCAACGGAUAAAAGUUA
rnacentral:rRNA from 1 species